CUCUCUUACAUUUGUUUUGGCAGAUACUGAGUCUUGGGUAAGAACAACAAGAAACGGUUGGAGGGAAAGCUACCUCAGGGGGGGAAAAAGUUGCAGUUAUUGUCAGGGGAAGAAACUGUGACAAAAUUAACUCCUAUCUCGAAGAAAAACAAAUACUAGCAAAAUGGACUCCAGAGAUCUGACAAGCGUAAGAACGUAAAUGCCACAGCUCGGGAAGGCAACAUUUAAACUUUAUUUGCGGUACAGAAUGAAGCCUCGUGAUUGGCCAACGGUCUAGAAGUCAACUUGAAGAAACUAAAAACUCCAGUCCAACGAAGCCUACAAGAAGUUCUACUUUGAUAUAGAAAAGAGACUUUUGAGGAGACGUAAACCCACAAAGACAAAGACAACACAAGAAAUAACAACCAGGCCUGUGGAGAAGAAGAAAGGGAACAAACCAGAAACAUGGAGGCAGACCAGUCAAUGGAGGCAGACCAGUCAGUUAGUGGUGGUCUAUGCAACAGAUCCAAGAAAGAGGAAUGCUAACUGUCCAGUCAUGACAGCAGAGAAAAAAAAGACACAGAGCCCAACGCAAACCCGAACGCGAGGCUGCUCGACACACUGGGAGCCAAGAAGCCCGCUCAGCGGCUCAGUGACACACUUCUACUUCACACGGAAGGUACACGAAGCUUGACGUAUCAAGUCUUUCCAGAAAGGGACAUAUUCAUUGUUCUCCAUGCCUGGACGCAUGGAUGAGCACUUCGAGAAGAUAAGUUGAUAAACAUCUGUUUACUGACCCAAGAACAACUCUGCAAGACUAACCAGAAGGCCUCAUGUUCACUUUGAACAGACUGAUGAAGCAGAGGAGGACACCUGGUGCAGACUCUGAGGCGAGUCAAGCGCUGCAUCUACAUUUCAGCAAACAAUUUGAGUCUGUCUUGACAGUUUCUCGGCGGUUAAACUGAAAUUCAGAAUCCCCGUGCUCAUGUGUCAUUUACAGCAUAUGAGAUCUAUACGUGGCAUAAACCAUAUAAACAGGAUAUGGGUCUCAAUUAUGAAGGCCGCGUUCUAUGCCUACCUGGAAGGCAAUCUCUACCAGCGGGCCACCAGAUGCAUGCAUGCACUAAUCCUGUCUUACUGUCUUUCCUUCAACAAAAUUAACAUUAAAGUACAAAAAGGCAUUCUCCUGUGAACUCUCAGGUGCGCUAUGAAAACGUCAUCAACUGUGACACGGUUUGCAGACUCAGCACUGCUGAUAACCAGCUCUUUCGACAGCUGCAAACACUGUGAGCACCCAGUGCCUGGUGCUGCAGCGGACACGGCAGAAAAGACACUGAACGGGUCUCCUGAUUGGUCUUUAGGGAUGUCAGUUCAAGACAGAUAACAGCAGCCUGGACAGACCUGAAGGACUGCAUAAAACAGAACACACACACACAGACACAGACACACAGAGGCAUCCCAAGACAGUGUCGGCACACACUUAUCAGGAUCGCACAUAAGAUUUCAGAUUUUUGCCAGAGAGGACAGGAUUUCAAAUGAGUAGAGCACACAUAAACAACAUGAUAAUAGGGCUUUGGUUUAUACUGGGAAGGAAGGAAGACAGAGUCUGAGAGGCCACUGGACUGGCUACCAGCUCUGUGAGUGGCGCUGGCUGAGCUUGCCUUUUUAACCUCCUUAAACUGGACUUUUCAUCUUAAUGGUGAGGAGAAGGAAAUUCAGUUCACAGGGCUGUCAAGAGGACUCAGCGACAAAAUGUCUUACAUGCGUGUAAGUUACCCCGGUAAGGUCAAGAUCUUCCUGACCCCCUCACUGAAACGUGAAUUCACGCGCCCCUUCUGUGUGUGAGGAUCUGUACCUGCAAACUCACUGUUUCUGCCCAAGGACACAAAGGGCGUGGAUCCUCAGCAUGAUGCUGGCCUUCAGAUGCUCAGCUUGUCUGGUCAAGAUCAUCGCUGGCAUCAUCUAGAGAUAGCACCCGAGCAUGCUAAGCAGUAGGACUGGGUGCUCUUCUCAGCCUCGGGGCUCCAGGUUUAAAAUACUUUGUCUUCAUCAAGCAAGGGACCUGGAUUUUGUCCUGCUUCACUCGUCUAUCUCCUGAGCAAAAUUACAGACGUUAUUUCCAACUUGAUCCUUGGCCUUCCACG
rnacentral:lncRNA from 1 species